GAACGCUGGCGGCAGGCUUAACACAUGGAGAGCGGGCGUAGCAAUACGUCAGCGGCAGACGGGUGAGUAACGCGUGGGAACGUACCUUUUGGUUCGGAACAACUGAGGGAAACUUCAGCUAAUACCGGAUAAGACCCUUACGGGGGAAAGAUUUAUCGCCGAAAGAUCGGCCCGCGUCUGAUUAGCUAGUUGGUGAGGUAAUGGCUCACCAAGGCGACGAUCAGUAGCUGGUCUGAGAGGAUGAUCAGCCACAUUGGGACUGAGACACGGCCCAAACUCCUACGGGAGGCAAGCAGUGGGGAAUAUUGGACAAUGGGCGAAAGCCUGAUCCAGCCAUGCCGCGUGAGUGAUGAAGGCCCUAGGGUUGUAAAGCUCUUUUGUGCGGGAAGAUAAUGACGGUACCGCAAGAAUAAGCCCCGGCUAACUUCGUGCCAGCAGCCGCGGUAAUACGAAGGGGGCUAGCGUUGCUCGGAAUCACUGGGCGUAAAGGGUGCGUAGGCGGGUCUUUAAGUCAGAGGUGAAAUCCUGGAGCUCAACUCCAGAACUGCCUUUGAUACUGAGGAUCUUGAGUUCGGGAGAGGUGAGUGGAACUGCGAGUGUAGAGGUGAAAUUUCGUAGAUAUUCGCAAGAACACCAGUGGCGAAAGGCGGCUCACUGGCCCGAUACUGACGCUGAGGCACGGAAAGCGUGGGGAGCAAACAGGGAUUUAGAUACCCUUGGUAGUCCAACGCCGUAAACGAUGAAUGCCAGGCCGUUGGGGGAGUUUACUCUUUCCAGUGGCGCAGCUUAACGCUUUUAAGCAUUCCCGCCUGGGGAGUACGGGCCGCAAG
rnacentral:rRNA from 1 species